GACGAACGCUGGCGGCGUGCUUAACACAUGCAAGUCGAACGAUGAAGCUGGAGCUUGCUCCGGUGGAUUAGUGGCGAACGGGUGAGUAACACGUGAGCAAUCUGCCCUUGACUCUGGGAUAACUGCGGGAAACUGUAGCUAAUACCGGAUACUUUCACUGGAAGGCAUCUUCUGGUGAAGAAAGAAUUUCGGUCAAGGAUGAGCUCGCGGCCUAUCAGCUUGUUGGUGAGGUAACGGCUCACCAAGGCGACGACGGGUAGCCGGCCUGAGAGGGUGACCGGCCACACUGGGACUGAGACACGGCCCAGACUCCUACGGGAGGCAGCAGUGGGGAAUAUUGCACAAUGGGCGCAAGCCUGAUGCAGCAACGCCGCGUGAGGGAUGAAGGCCUUCGGGUUGUAAACCUCUUUUAGCAGGGAAGAAGCGAAAGUGACGGUACCUGCAGAAAAAGCACCGGCUAACUACGUGCCAGCAGCCGCCGCGG
rnacentral:rRNA from 1 species